rnacentral:rRNA from 1 species
CGAACUCGGAGAUAGCUGGUUCUCCCCGAAAUAGCUUUAGGGCUAGCCUCGGAAAACAGAGUCGUGGAGGUAGAGCACUGAUUGGGUGCGGGGCCCGCAAGGGUUACCAAGCUCAGUCAAACUCCGAAUGCCAUAGACUUACUUCCGGGAGUCAGACAGUGAGUGCUAAGAUCCAUUGUCAAAAGGGAAACAGCCCAGACCAUCAGCUAAGGUCCCCAAGUGUGUGUUAAGUGGGAAAGGAUGUGGAGUUGCACAGACAACCAGGAUGUUGGCUUAGAAGCAGCCACCAUUGAAAGAGUGCGUAAUAGCUCACUGGUCGAGUGACUCUGCGCCGAAAAUGUAACGGGGCUAAACACACCACCGAAGCUAUGGCUUGAUGCUUUGCAUCAGGGGUAGGGGAGCGUUGUAUAAGGGUUGAAGGUGUACCGUAAGGAGCGCUGGACAUUAUACAAGUGAGAAUGCCGGUAUGAGUAACGAAAAGAUCAGUGAGAAUCUGAUCCGCCGAAAGCCUAAGGGUUCCUGAGGAAGGCUCGUCCGCUCAGGGUAAGUCGGGACCUAAGGCGAGGCCGAAAGGCGUAGUCGAAGGACAACAGGUCGAAAUUCCUGUACCACCGUAAGCCGUUAUGAGCAAUGGGGGGACGCAGCAGGGUAGUGACGCGGACUGAUGGAUGUCCGUCUAAGCAGUGAGGCUGAUGUGUAGGCAAAUCCGCACAUCGUAAGGCUGGACUGUGAUGGGGAGCGAAAAUUAUAGUAGCGAAGGUCAUGAUCUCACACUGCCAAGAAAAGCCUCUAGCCAGGUGAUGGUGCCCGUACCGCAAACCGACACAGGUAGGCGAGAAGAGAAUUCUAAGGCGCGCGGAAGAACUCUCGUUAAGGAACUCGGCAAAAUGACCCCGUAACUUCGGGAGAAGGGGUGCCCCGGUAGUGUGAAUAGCACGAGGGGGCCGCAGUGAAAAGGCCCAAGCGACUGUUUAGCAAAAACACAGGUCUGUGCGAAGCCGUAAGGCGAAGUAUACGGGCUGACGCCUGCCCGGUGCUGGAAGGUUAAGGGGAGCGGUUAGGAGCAAUCCGAAGCUGUGAACCGAAGCCCCAGUAAACGGCGGCCGUAACUAUAACGGUCCUAAGGUAGCGAAAUUCCUUGUCAGGUAAAUUCUGACCCGCACGAAUGGCGUAACGACUUGGGCGCUGUCUCAACGAGAGAUCCGGUGAAAUUUUAAUACCUGUGAAGAUGCAGGUUACCCGCGACAAGACGGAAAGACCCCAUGGAGCUUUACUGCAGCUUGAUAUUGAAUUUGGGUACGAUCUGUACAGGAUAGGUGGGAGCCUUUGAAACGUGAGCGCCAGCUUGCGUGGAGGCACCGUUGGGAUACCACCCUGAUCGUAUCUAGGUUCUAACCUGGUACCGUAAUCCGGUGCGGGGACAGUGUCAGGUGGGCAGUUUGACUGGGGCGGUCGCCUCCUAAAGAGUAACGGAGGCGCCCAAAGGUUCCCUCAGAAUGGUUGGAAAUCAUUCGAAGAGUGCAAAGGCAUAAGGGAGCUUGACUGCGAGACCUACAAGUCGAGCAGGGACGAAAGUCGGGCUUAGUGAUCCGGUGGUACCGCAUGGAAGGGCCAUCGCUCAACGGAUAAAAGCUACCCUGGGGAUAACAGGCUUAUCUCCCCCAAGAGUCCACAUCGACGGGGAGGUUUGGCACCUCGAUGUCGGCUCAUCGCAUCCUGGGGCUGAAGUAGGUCCCAAGGGUUGGGCUGUUCGCCCAUUAAAGCGGUACGCGAGCUGGGUUCAGAACGUCGUGAGACAGUUCGGUCCCUAUCUGUCGUGGGCGUAGGAAAUUUGAGAGGAGCUGUCCUUAGUACGAGAGGACCGGGAUGGACGUACCGCUGGUGUACCAGUUGUUCCGCCAGGAGCACCGCUGGGUAGCUAUGUACGGAAGGGAUAAGCGCUGAAAGCAUCUAAGCGUGAAGCCCCCCUCAAGAUGAGAUUUCCCAGUAUGUAAGACCCCUUGAAGACGACGAGGUAGAUAGGCUGGGGGUGGAAGUGCAGCAAUGCAUGGAGCUGACCAGUACUAAUCGGUCGAGGGCUUAUCCAAG